CCCGGAUCAGAAAGGACAACCACCUCGAGGACCAGGGACAGCCUGGAGAAACGGCGUGGGAGACAGAGACUGAGGAAAAUGAUCAGAGGGGGGAAGAGGAUAUUUUGAGAUCCCUUGCCUCUUCUCCUGUCUCCCCAGUCCCUGGUCCCUCAGCCCCUGCUGCUGAACUCACAGGCCAACAGAGGAGGAGAGCCCGACGGCGGCCCCGUGAGCGGUCCCAGGAUGGUCCGUCGGAGGUGGAGCAGACGCUGUUGGAGCUCCUGACACAACCUCUGGCGCGACCUCCAACCCCACCGCCACGCUCCGCUGAGGAGUACUUCCUCCUCAGCCUUCUGCCUUUUCUGCAGAGCA